rnacentral:miRNA from 1 species
CUUCCCAAACCUCCCAUUCCUA